CCACUUUGGCAGCAAAUAUACUAAAAUUGAAAUGAUACAGAGAAGAUUAUCAUGGCCCCUGAGCAAGGAUGACAUGAAAUAUAUGUAUAUAUUAGAAAAUAUAU